UAAGUUUAAUUAUAUAUCUUAUACAAUAGAUAAGAUUGAUAGUUUGGACUUAUUUACCCUAAAAUGAUUGCGAAUAAACAAGAGCGGUCGUUUGAUUUAUAUGCGCAUGCUGUUACAUAAUAGUAAUUGAUUUCUUAGUUAUUUGAUAUAUAAUUAUUAUUUCAUAAUAUGCAGAAAAACAUAAAAUAAGUAAUAAAUAUAAAAUAUUUAUUCUACUCAAGGCGCGAAUCUUAGCCUAAGUAUGUAUCUCUUUAAUAAUUUUAAAUCUUUAACAUUUUCAAAAUCUCAAGCCAAAACAAAAUAAUGAAAUGAGAAUAAACUCAAAAUCAAUAUUUAUAUCGAGUAAUAACCAAAAAAAAAAAAGAAAACAACACAAAAUGAAAAAAAUAUUGAAGAUAUUUUUAAAUUUUUAAAUCAUGAUAUAAAACCGAGCUCUCAUAUUUUCAUUGUAACCAAAUAGUAGGCCUGAGAUUCUUCAGCCUAAACGUGAGGUUCUUAUGCGAUAAAUGAUUUUUUGACCUAAAAUAUUUUCAAAAUGGGAUCAGCUCAUCAGUAAACAAAUUAUAUAAUUAACAAAAAAUUAAAACAAAUAUUACUUAAGGCCAAAAAUAUUUAUUCGAUCAAGAAUAUAAAUUUUAUUUUUUUAUACGAUAUUUUUUAAAUAAU
rnacentral:lncRNA from 1 species